rnacentral:rRNA from 1 species
UACGGGAGGCAGCAGUGGGGAAUAUUGCACAAUGGGCGCAAGCCUGAUGCAGCCAUGCCGCGUGUAUGAAGAAGGCCUUCGGGUUGUAAAGUACUUUCAGCAGUGAGGAAGGUGGGUAUGUUAAUAGCAUACUCAUUUGACGUUAGCUGCAGAAGAAGCACCGGCUAACUCCGUGCCAGCAGCCGCGGUAAUACGGAGGGUGCGAGCGUUAAUCGGAAUUACUGGGCGUAAAGCGCAUGCAGGUGGUUUGUUAAGUCAGAUGUGAAAGCCCGGGGCUCAACCUCGGAAUUGCAUUUGAAACUGGCAAACUAGAGUACUGUAGAGGGGGUAGAAUUUCAGGUGUAGCGGUGAAAUGCGUAGAGAUCUGAAGGAAUACCGGUGGCGAAGGCGGCCCCCUGGACAGAUACUGACACUCAGAUGCGAAAGCGUGGGGAGCAAACAGGAUUAGAUACCAUGGUAG